rnacentral:snRNA from 1 species
GGUUGUGAGGGUGAUCUAGCUAUGACAUCUGUCACCCCAUUGAUCUCCAGGGUUGAUUCAGCUGAUCUGGCUGGCUAGUUGGGUGUCCCCUUCCUCCUUCAACGCUCCACGUGCAUCCCUCCCAAAGCUUCUCACUAGGUUGAAGAGGAUGACCACCCCCGAUAGAGGAAGACUGUUCCUUGGUCAGGGGUAUAUGAGUAGCUGCGCUCCCUUGCUAGAACCUCCAAACAAGCUCUCAAAAAACCAAAAAAUGAAAUAAAGAAAGAUCAAAUUAAAGCAAACAGGAAAUAAAUUUAUGUUGUACAGAGUAAGCAGCGUUGAUU